AUUGAACGCUGGCGGCAGGCUUAACACAUGCAAGUCGAGCGAGCGGCGGACGGGUGAGUAAUGUCUGGGAAACUGGCUGAUGGAGGGGGAUAACUACUGGAAAUGGUAGCUAAUACCGCAUACCAUCAGAUGUGCCCAGAUGGGAUUAGCUAGUGGGUGGGGUAAUGGCUCACCUAGGCGACGAUCCCUAGCUGGUCUGAGAGGAUGACCAGCAAAACAGGAGCGAGGACACGGUCCAGACGCCUACGGGAGGCAGCAGUGGGGAAUAUUUCACAAUGGGCGCAAGCCUGAUGCAGCCAUGCAGCGUGUAUGAAGAAGGCCUUCGGGUUGGAAAGCACUUUCAGCGAGGAGGCGGUACUCGCAGAAGAAGCACCGGCUAACUCCGUGCCAGCCGCCGCGGUAAUAC
rnacentral:rRNA from 1 species